UCACCAAUGUGGUAAGCACAGAAUCGAGAGAAAGUAUCCAUCUGUAAACAGAGUCAAAACAGUUUACGGCCGCCAUAAAUUCCUGUUGAACAAUUGGACUUCAACUACCAGCAUGCCAUGCAACAUUAAUCUCUUAACUUCGGCGCAGGAACUACAAGAUCCAGCAAGCACUGCGUCCCUCAGUUUUCACUUCCCCGAACCAAUCAAUGUAGACCUCCUACCCCUCCACUUUUAUAAUACAAUACCGGUGUUCCCUCCUAUCCUGCUGUGAAGGUACUCUAAGCCAAGAAAUGGGCAACUGAGUAACCAAACAACGAUUUGACGACAUCACAAAUGAGACAGAGAGAGAACAUCCAUCUAGCAAGCCAUCUGGAUGCCUAUUUGUAACUUUCACAAAGACUUGGAUUACAAGAAUGAAUAUAUUUUAUUCUUGGUAUUGUGCAUAAACCAGCCACAAGAAAAUGCUUAGAUACUUAAA